rnacentral:ncRNA from 1 species
UAUUGAAAAAGGCAAACUAUUUGAAAAAGUAGGACGCAAAGCCAUGGAUCUAAGGCGCAAGCUAUGAUAGCCAGGUUACCGUU